UACAGAGGGGGCAAGCGUUGUUCGGAAUUACUGGGCGUAAAGGGCGCGUAGGCGGCCUGUUAAGUCGAACGUGAAAUCCCCGGGCUCAACCCGGGAACUGCGUCCGAGACUGGCAGGCUUGAAUCCGGGAGAGGGAUGUGGAAUUCCAGGUGUAGCGGUGAAAUGCGUAGAUAUCUGGAGGAACACCGGUGGCGAAGGCGGCCUACUGGGCUGCACCUGACGCUGAGCCGCGAAAGCCAGGGGAGCGAACGGG
rnacentral:rRNA from 1 species